UGAAAAUUAUCCCAUGAUUUACUCACCCUCAAGGCAUAGGUGUAUAUGACUAUCGUCUUUCAGAUGAACACAAUCUGAGAUAUAUUUAAAAAUAUCCUUAGUCCUCCAAGCUUUAUAAUGGUUGUGAAUUUUGAAGCAAAAAAAAAAAGCAUCCAUCCAUAAUUAAAGUAAUCCAUACGGCUCCAGGGUGUUAAUGCGAAAGCGCAGAGGAUAGAGCAAAACAAAAGAAAAAAAAAACAGUCACGAAUCAGAAGUCUAAAAUGAUCAUUUUUAAUGUCUGAGGAUUUCGAUAUAAGAAGAGGAGCUUGAGUUUGUUGCCCAGCCCUAUUUGUUUGAACCGCGAGAGGCAUCUAAGCUUACAAUACUCCUACAUCGUGUCAGGGGUUGCUCCUUUGGCACAAGUCGACUUGCGCAGUAUGCGUAUGGUCGUCCGCCGGAAGCUAGUUAUUUGAAUUUGUAAAGUUUUAAAUAUGGACAUUUUUCUUACAAAAACACAUCACUUUGCUUCUGAAGGCCUUUAUUAAACCCUAGAGCUGUAUGGAUUAUUUUUUAUUUUGGAUGAUGCAUUUUUUUUUUUUUUUUUGCUUCAAAAUGUGGCCCCCAAUUCACAACCAUUAUAAAGCUUUCAGGAUCAAGGAUAUUUUUAAAUAUAUCUCUGAUUGUGUUCCUCUGAAAGAAGAUAGUCAUAUACACCUGGCUUGGUGUAAAUGAUGGGAUAAUUUUCAUUUUUGGGUGAACUAUCCCUUUAAUUAAAGGCACAGCUGUAUUUUUUUUCGCCGAUAGGGGUCGCUAACCUCUUCAAAACAAUAAGAAAGGCCAUUGAUGACGCAGUGAAUGAGUGUGGAAUCAUGGAACUUGUCAUGCCGAUGGCUCUAAUAAUGUUUAUGGGGAAAUAAUGUUUAAGGAUGAGUGAAUGCAUUAAUUUUCUUUAACAAGACUGUGGUAUGAAGCAGAGCGUGGCCGAGAAUCGCGGGCGCGAUUGCUAAUGAGAGACAGAUAUCAGUGCCACACGCGAGUCACGGGGGAUAUAAAGGAAUGAGGACAUUUCAUUCCACCGAACACUUGCGAACAAGUGCAAGUGCUGAAGUACUACUCAUACAGAUAGAUCACGGAGGAAGCAGAUCAGAGGUGCUGCUGAAGCUUAAUCUCAGUGUGAAGUGGUACAUUCAACACCAGAAGAUUGAAUCCAGAAGUGAUGAGUCCCUCUAGACAUCGCUGCCUGUGCUUGUUGGCCUCCUCUCAGGGACUAUUGAUGACAUCUUACCACUCAAUCGGACGCUAUGGAUUUACGGAGACCAUGAGAUUGUGAGGAAGCAUGAGCAUCUCGCUUUUCAGAAGUGAGAAUUACGUCAUCUUCUGUAAUCGCUCUGUUUACCGAGCUGCAAUCUGCAAACAUGAAUAAAUAAAAUGCCCAAGCACUUUUCA